CGUGAGGGAAAGGUGAAAAGAACCCCGGGAGGGGAGUGAAAUAGUACCUGAAACCGUAUGUCUACAAGCAGUCGAAGCGAAAGCGACGGCGUGCCUAUUGAAGAAUGAACCAACGAGUUAUCUGCACUAGCGAGGUUAAGUGGAAGACACGGAGCCGCAGCGAAAGCGAGUCUUAAGAGGGCGCUAGUUAGUGUAGGUAGACCCGAAACCGCAGUGAUCUACCCAUGUCCAGGUUGAAGCGCAGGUAAAAUUGCGUGGAGGACCGAACCGGUGAGCGUUGAAAAGCUUUCGGAUGAGAUGUGGGUAGGGGUGAAAUUCCAAUCGAACGCGGAGAUAGCUGGUUCUCCCCGAAAUAGCUUUAGGGCUAGCCUGAGGUAGUAAGUAUAGGCGGUAGAGCACUGAUCGGGCUAGGGGCCGUAAAGGUUACCGAACCCUGUCAAACUCCGAAUGGAUAUACUGUAGAGCCUUGGAGUCAGACUACGAGUGAUAAGAUCCGUGGUCAAAAGGGAAACAGCCCAGACCACCAGCUAAGGUCCCCAAUGUCGUACUAAGUGGAAAAGGAUGUGGGGUUUCAUAAACAACCAGGAUGUUGGCUCAGAAGCAGCCACCAUUUAAAGAGUGCGUAAUAGCUCACUGGUCGAGAGACCCUGCGCCGAAGAUUCCCGGGGCUAAAGUACGAAACCGAAGCUGUGGCUGUAUACGUAAAGUAUACGGGGUAGGGGAGCGUUCCCAUAGGGUAGAAGUCGAACUGGAAGGUUCGGUGGACUUGUGGGAAGUGAGAAUGUUGGUAUGAGUAGCGAAAAGAAAGGUGAGAAUCCUUUCCACCGAAAGCAUAAGGAUUCCUGAGCAACGAUCGUCGUCUCAGGGUAAGUCGGGACCUAAUCCGAGGCAGAGAGCGUAGGAGAUGGACAACUGGUUGAUAUUCCAGUACCGGUAGUAAUUGUUUGAGCAAUGGAGUGACACAGAAGGGCAGGCAAGCAUGCGAAUGGAAGAGCAUGUGUAAGCGUGUAGGGUGGUGCAUAGGCAAAUCCGUGCACUGAAAGCCUGAGGCGUGAUGCGGAGUGAGCAGAGAUGCGAGCGAAGUUGUUGACCCCACACUGUCGAGAAAAGCUUCUAGUGAGAGAGCUACCGCCCGUACCGUAAACCGACACAGGUAUGCGGGGAGAGAAUCCUAAGGUGCGCGGGAGAACCCUCGUUAAGGAACUCGGCAAAAUGUACCCGUAACUUCGGGAUAAGGGUAGCCACUGUUGUGAAGUCCCACGCGGAUGGAGCAUAGAGUGGUCGCAGAGAAGAGGCCCAAGCGACUGUUUACCAUAAACACAGGUGCCUGCUAAAGCGAAAGCUGACGUAUAGGUGCUGACACCUGCCCAGUGCCGGAAGGUUAAGGAAGGAUGUUCGGAUUAGUCCAAAGCAUUCGACUGAAGCCCCGGUGAACGGCGGCCGUAACUAUAACGGUCCUAAGGUAGCGAAAUUCCUUGUCGGGU
rnacentral:rRNA from 1 species